CUUUGCGGUGGCUGUUGUUGACGUUGUUGUUGAACGAGCAUUGAUUGAUUGUUUGAAAAUACUGGAAUAACAGAUGAUACUUGAUGAUGGUGUUGACGAGGCUGUGGACUUCUUCUAACAUGAGGCCUCCUCUGCCUCCCAACGGACACUGCAUUAGUCUCGCCUUCUUUAUUUCUGGAAAACCCACUAUCGUACUUCUUGCUAGACG
rnacentral:lncRNA from 1 species